CAGGCGGCAUGGCUUGGCGGGCGCUGCGGCUGCUUCCGCGCGGCGUGGCCGCCCUCCCCGGGCCGUCGCCGGCGGGCAGGAGCUACGCCAAGAAGGCCGUGAUGAAGAUGAAAGGAAAAGGGACACCUGCUGAAGCCCCCAAGGGUCCCGAUGUAUGCAAGGACCCCGUGUUGCUUACCACCCACGCCAUGGGGGUAAACAUCUACAAGGAGGGCCCAGAAGUGGCGCUGAAGCCGGACUCGGAAUACCCUGAAUGUACCUCUGGGGGAUCUCCUCUGGACCUGUGGUUUUAAGCACAGCCAUGUGGUUUCCGCAUCAUGUUUUAAAUGAAUGCAAGGCUACCAUUGUGCAAGACAGCUUCCUGUUUUCUUUCGGAUCUGGCCUGUGGCUGAACCUCCCUGCUGCGAAACUCCCAAUGCCACGGAAGAGGGACAUCCCUUUUGAAAAACCAGGCUUUUCCAGAUGUAUAUUGGUCCCCCCAAGAAGUUGAACGAACUAGAUCCGGAGACCCACAAAUACUGGCGUACGCUGCGGAAGAUUA